rnacentral:rRNA from 1 species
CAGUCGCCGCGGUAAUACGAAGGGUGCAUGCGUUACUCGGAAUUACUGGGCGUAAAGCGUGCGUAGGUGGUGGUUUAAGUCCGUUGUGAAAGCCCUGGGCUCAACCUGGGAAUUGCAGUGGAUACUGGGUCACUAGAGUGUGGUAGAGGAUAGUGGAAUUUCCGGUGUAGCAGUGAAAUGCGUAGAGAUCGGAAGGAACAUCUGUGGCGAAGGCGACUAUCUGGGCCAACACUGACACUGAGGCACGAAAGCGUGGGGAGCAAACAGGAUUAGAUACCCCUGUAGUCCCUGUCUCUUAUAC